GUAGGUGAACCUGCGGAAGGAUCAUUAAAGAGUAAGGGUGCUCAGCGCCCGACCUCCAACCCUCUGUUGUUGGAACUACCUUGUUGCUUUGGCGGGACCGCUCGGUCCCGAGCCGCUGGGGAUUCGUCCCAGGCGAGCGCCCGCCAGAGUUAAACCAAACUCUUGCUAUAUAAACCGGUCGUCUGAGUUAAAAUUUUGAAUAAGUCAAAACUUUCAACAACGGAUCUCUUGGUUCUC
rnacentral:misc_RNA from 1 species